rnacentral:rRNA from 1 species
AGUGAACGCUGGCGGCAGGCCUAACACAUGCAAGUCGAACGGCAGCACAGGGGAGCUUGCUCCCUGGGUGGCGAGUGGCGGACGGGUGAGGAAUACAUGGGAAUCUACCCUGUCGUGGGGGAUAACGUAGGGAAACUUACGCUAAUACCGCAUACGACCGAGAGGUGAAAGCGGCGGACCGCAAGGCGUCGCGCGACUGG